rnacentral:rRNA from 1 species
GGAGGACGCUUACCACUUUGUGGUUCAUGACUGGGGUGAAGUCGUAACAAGGUAGCGCUAGGGGAACCUGGCGCUGGAUCACCUCCUUAUACGAUGAU